rnacentral:rRNA from 1 species
UACGGAGGGGGCUAGCGUUGUUCGGAAUUACUGGGCGUAAAGCGCACGUAGGCGGCUUUGCAAGUUAGAGGUGAAAGCCCGGAGCUUAACUCCGGAAUUGCCUUUAAAACUGCAUCGCUAGAAUUGUGGAGAGGUGAGUGGAAUUCCGAGUGUAGAGGUGAAAUUCGUAGGUAUUCGGAAGAACACCAGUGGCGAAGGCGACUCACUGGACACAUAUUGACGCUGAGGUGCGAAAGCGUGGGGAGCAAACAGG